rnacentral:rRNA from 1 species
AUUGAACGCUGGCGGCAGGCCUAACACAUGCAAGUCGAACGAGGGGCGGACGGGUGAGUAAUGUCUGGGAAACUGCCCGAUGGAGGGGGAUAACUACUGGAAACGGUAGCUAAUACCGAAUACCAUCGGCUGUGCACAGGUGGGAUUAGGUAGUAGGUGGGGUAACGGCUUACCUAGGCGACGAUCCCUAGCGGGUCUGAGAGGGUGACCAGCCACACUGGAACUGAGACACGGUCCAGACUCCUACGGGAGGCAGCAGUGGGGAAUAUUGCACAAUGGGCGCAAGCCUGACGCAGCCAUGCCGCGUGUGUGAUGAAGGCCUUCGGGUCGUAAAGUACUUUCAGCGAGGAGGCGUUACUCGCAGAAGAAGCACCGGCUAACUCCGUGCCAGCAGCCGCGGUAAUAC